UACGGCGAGGGAGAGGGAAGAGCUCAAAUUUUAAAUCUGGCGCCUUCGGUGUUYGAGUUGUAAUCUAUAGAAGUGUUUUCCGCGGUGGACCGUGUACAAGUUUCCUGGAACGGUACGUCAUAGAGGGUGAGAAUCCCGUAUGUGGCACGGACUCCCAUUGCUAUGUGAUACACUCUCAACGAGUCGAGUUGUUUGGGAAUGCAGCUCAAAGUGGGUGGUAAAUUCCAUCUAAAGCUAAAUAUUGGCGAGAGACCGAUAGCGAACAAGUACCGUGAGGGAAAGAUGAAAAGCACUUUGGAAAGAGAGUGAAACAGUACGUGAAAUUGUUAAAAGGGAAACGCUUGAAGUCAGUCGCGCCUCUUGGGAUUCAGCCUUACUUCUGUUUGGUGUACUUCCUGUUGGGCGGGUCAACGUCAGUUUUGAUCGAGGGAAAAAGGGGUUAGAAAUGUGGCCGUCUUCGGGUGGUGUUAUAGUCUUUCCUUGUAUGCCUCGGUUUGGGACUGAGGACCGCAGCGCGCCUUUUGGCCGGGGUUCGCCCACGUACGCGCUUAGGAUGUUGGCAUAAUGGCUUUAAGCGACCCGUCUUGAAACACGGACCAAGGAGUCUAACAUGUGCGCGAGUGUUUGGGUGUUAAACUCGGACGCGUAAUGAAAGUGAAAAGUUGGGAUCAUUUUAUGUGCACCGACGCCCGGAGCUGACCUUCUGUGACGCAUCCGCGGUAGAGCGUAUAUGUUGGGACCCGAAAGAUGGUGAACUAUGCCUGAAUAGGGUGAAGCCAGAGGAAACUCUGGUGGAGGCUCGUANCGAUUCUGACGUGCAAAUCGAUCGUCAA
rnacentral:rRNA from 1 species